rnacentral:lncRNA from 1 species
GGACAGCCCUUGAGCCACGUCUCCUUUGAGCUGUUUGCAGACAAAGUUCCAAAGACAGCAGAAAACUUCCAUGCUCUAACCACUGGAGAAAAAGGAUUUGAUAAUAAGGGUUCCAGCUUUCAUAUAAUUAUUCCAGGGUUUUUGUGUCAGAGUGGUGACUUAACAUGCCAUAAUGGUGUGGCAAGUCCAGCUACAAGGAGAUCUGAUGAGAACUUCAUCCUGAAGCAUACACUCACUGGAA